UGCACACAAGACCUAAAAACCCUAAUCUUUGAUUUAGAGCGGGAAAACUUUGCUUUAACUGCACUUAAUGUACAAUUCAAAUUUCAAAUCCCUUCACUUUUAUCCAUCAAACAUUCAAUGCUUGCUUCUUUCCGAGGCAUGCACAUGGCUCAAAAUUUGGCUUCAAUCUUACCCACUCUUCUCAAUUCAAAGGCAUCUGAACCAUCCCUAACAAAACUAUUUCCUUGCCUUUUGUUCUCUCUCUCCUAUCAUCUCACGCCCAUUUUUCUCUGAUCUGAGAAAUUCAUCUUCCAUUUUCAGUCCCUCUUCUCUCUCACUCCAGUUACCCUUCUAAAAAAUCAAGUGACGAUAUCACAAGUGACGAAUCCGGAGAAGACAAAGAUGGAGUAGAUUACGUUUUUAUUGUGUACCUCAGCCUUUAAGGAACUGAUUUGCGAUUCUUGCUCAAUUCCUAUCCCAUUGAUUAAUUUCGUCAGCUUUUGUCGUUACAUGCUCAAUUCACCAUGUGUUUCCGGCAACAGAGUUGUUCUUCUCGACACAUGCUAUUUUUUUAAGGGUUGUCUUUGAAGCUCGCACUCCUGCUACUAAAAAAAACAAAGAAUGGCAAGAGCAACUUCCCACUGUUGUUCUCAAAGCUGAAGAAAUCAUGCAUUCCAAAGAAAUCAUGUUAUCCCUUUGAGAACCCCAUUCAAGAAUCAAAUAUGUCCAACAAAAUGAAUGAUGCACGAGUUACAGGAGCGAAGUUUGCUGCUGAAGUUAUCAAUUUCCUUUAACUAAUAAAUCAUUGAUGGUUAAAGCUGGUUUCAAGGCAGGAGUGAUUGUUUUCCAUCUAGCCGGAGCGAGCAGACGUCGCAGACAGCUGCUGCUCUCAAAUUAAAUCAUUUUGACAUACAUCAUGAUGAUGCAGAAUCAUAAAAGUUUGAUUUUUGUUUCACUUAAGAGUUCACUUCUCUCAAGAAAAGAAUGUGCAUUACCAACUGCUGACAUGCAUAGAGGAGGUAAAUCCUUCAAUGAGAGGUAACAUUUUUAUAAUUAGAAGUUAUUGGACAAAAUCUUCAAUAAUUUAGUUGUGUAUUCUUAUCUUUCUUAAAUUGGUGAUUUACAUGGUUUAAUUUUUUUUCAUCCAUUAUGAGUAUAGUGUAGUAUUUUGGUUCAUUGGCAUUGAAAUAAUAAACUUGCUGCAUCAUAAAUAACAUAAAGUUGCUCAUGUACUCCCUAAAAAAGGCUGAUGCAUUAUGUAUCUUUCUGUCUCUUUUGAUAAUUUGAAAGUUUUUUUUUAUCUCUUUUACCAUAUGUUCUGUAAUUAUGUACACAAAUUGGAGUUAAACUGUGCAUAAAAGUUACUGAUGUAUGAUGUAUCUUUCUUUCUUACUCUUUUUAAAAAAAUAUGCAGAGGCUAAUUGUGGUUCAUUUGUUUUCCUGUUUAUACAUCAACGCAUGCCUGAUCCAUUUGUUUUCAUUGCUUUUAGGAGGGAGAUAGAAUAAAUAUUAGCAGGGUUCAAAGUUCAUGUUAAUAGCACUAAUUGGUCCAUUUUGCAUAUUUGAGCAUGGUAAUGUUGUAAAGUUGACUUAGUUUGUUGUCUGUGUUCAAAGUUCAUGUUAAUAAUACUAAUUGGUCCAUAUGAAAACACGGGACCUGCAGAAAGAUUAGCUGCCACAAGAGAGUGUAGACCAAUUUGUUGUGUAUGUGCUUCUACCUAUCCGCUGAUGGCUGCCACUUUAACUAACAUAAAUGAUUUCUCCACCAAACUUUAGGUUGAUCCUUCUAUUGGAAUGUUACUUCAGGAUUUUCCUCAAUUUAGAUAUGGCUUGAUUUUAUUGUCAAAAUAUACCAUUAUGAAAAACAAAUUUCUAAAAAAUGUCUUGUGCUCAAACUUUUCUCUUUGUGCAUGUAUGAUGACAUAUAAUUCAUUUGGCAGCAUGUAAUUUCUUUUGUUGCAGGUAUAUGUAUAAUUUACAUGAUACCAUUUAAUUUCUUCAACUCCCACAUGUUUUAGCAUUGUCUUUUUAUGUCACUUGGGCUGCUUAAAUUGUGUUUGUUAUUGAUAUAUAUGGUACUGUCAAAAUAUAUAAGAGAAACAAGAAUUUAUGAUACUGCUUUUCUAAUAUGAAGUUGAGAAUUUAUGAUGCAGGGACUGAAUGUGCAGGAUCAGAAAACCUUUGCAAUGAUGUUUUGGUGCAUAUGACGUCGUUAAAAUGAAAAAGUCUGGCACAAUCAAACGAAGAAGCAACAAUUUCAGUUCAUGACACGCAUGACGUGCAAUCUGAUUGGCAGCAGCUGCACGCUAAGCACAGUGCAGCAGCUGCAAACAGUAGCACUGACAAUUUUAGCAGCACUAUUGGAGUUCCAUGGUAGACUAAGCCAGCAAAUAGAGAGAUAAAAUGCAAUGUCGACAGAACAUCUCUUUCACAGUUACCGUAUUUAUCAUAUAACCAUAUAAUCUUCAUAACCCAAGGAGUGGUGAUCACCGCUAUUCAGGAACAAGUUUUUAUUGUGUUAUUCUUCAAUGUUAAAUCACCGCUAUUUAGGACAAAUAUUGAGUUGUCUAAAAUGUGUUAUUUGUGACUGCACUACACUUCAAAUGUUGUUUACAAAGAAAUUUUCCGCAAUGUACUAACAUGAACUCAAUUUAAUUGUAUUUUAUUAAUCA